rnacentral:pre_miRNA from 1 species
GUUAGUAAGAUGGAGAAGUAAGGCGCGUGCAACACUAACUCAUCAGCACAACAUAUGGGGUCUGAAACCAGGAAAGCUAACACUUUUCUAUAAUAGAGAACCUAUAUAGGUUGUUGUGAGUUAGUCCUUCAUGUGUCCCUCUUCCUCAUCAUGACAAC